CGCCUCUUGCAAAAUCAACAAAUAAGAGGUCCCGCCUGCCCAGUGACUAUGGGUUCAACGGCCGCGGUAUUUUAACCGUGCAAAGGUAGCGUAAUCACUUGUCUUUUAAAUGAAGACCUGUAUGAAUGGCAUAACGAGGGCCUAACUGUCUCCUUUUUCAAGUCAAUGAAAUUGAUCUUCCCGUGCAGAAGCGGAAAUAGCCCCAUAAGACGAGAAGACCCUAUGGAGCUUUAGACAAAAGCAGACCAUGUUAAGCACUCUCAAAUAAGAGACUAAACUUGAUGCGCUUACUGCCCUAAUGUCUUUGGUUGGGGUGACCGCGGCGAAACAAAUAACCACCGUGUAGAAAGAGACCUCCUUCUCUCCAAAUCAAGAGCUCCCGCUCAAAUAAACAGAAUAUCUGACUAAACAAGAUCCGGCAACGCCGAUCAACGGACCGAGUUACCCUAGGGAUAACAGCGCAAUCCCCUUCUAGAGCCCAUAUCGACAAGGGGGUUUACGACCUCGAUGUUGGAUCAGGACAUCCUAAUGGUGCAGCCGCUAUUAAGGGUUCGUUUGUUCAACGAUUAAAGUCCU
rnacentral:rRNA from 1 species